rfam:Ictidomys tridecemlineatus contig095288, whole genome shotgun sequence.
GGAGGUGCAAUUUAGUGAUUAGAGUGCUUGCCUAGCAUGCAGGAUACCUGGGUUCAAUCCCAAGCACUACCA